rnacentral:misc_RNA from 1 species
GAUGAAGAACGCAGCGAAAUGCGAUAAGUAAUGUGAAUUGCAGAAUUCCGUGAAUCAUCGAAUCUUUGAACGCACAUUGCGCCCCCUGGUAUUCCGGGGGGCAUGCCUGUCCGAGCGUCAUUGCAACCUUCAAGCGCGGCUUGUGUGUUGGGUCUCGUCCCCCGUGGACGGGCCCGAAAGGCAGUGGCGGCGUCCCGACAUGGUGCCCGAGCGUAUGGGAAUCCUCUUCCGCUCGAAUCGGCCCAUGCGGCGCUGGUCGUAACCAAAUUUUUUACCGGUUGACCUCGGAUCAGGUAGGGAUACCCGCUGAACUUAAGCAUAUCAAUAAGCGGGGA